UGUUACACCCUCACCCCCUUAAGAGAGAUCGACGCCCCCGUCGAUCAACCCUAGGCCAGGAACGUCCUCUCUUGGCCACGUCCAUGUGUCCAGUGCCAGCGCAUGUGCCAUGCUGUGUAACCACUCCCGGUCUACACCAGCCAUGCGCACCAUGCCUGCGCAACUGCGACACACGCGCCCGUGAAACCGCGAGAGUCGGCUCUGAUACCACUUUGUAACGUCCCGCCUUCCCCCAGGCCAGGCCCGCUUACAUCUGAUAGCUUUCAUAGGUCAUAGACUGCCCUCAUAGACCAACACAUGUCUUUUCUGCACACUUUGUCCUCACUCGUGUGCAUCCGGGAAGAAUUUCCCGGUCGGUCACCCAUCCCAAAUUGCCCAUGCUGUGUAACCACUCCCGGUCUACACCAGCCAUGCGCACCAUGCCUGCGCAACUGCGACACACGCGCCCGUGAAACCGCGAGAGUCGGCUCUGAUACCACUUUGUAACGUCCCGCCUUCCCCUAGGCCGGGCCUGCUUACAUCUGAUAGCUUUCAUAGGUCAUAGACUGCCCUCACAGACCAACACAUGUCUUUUCUGCACACUUUGUCCUCACUCGUGUGCAUCCGGGAAGAAUUUCCCGGUCGGUCACCCAUCCCAAAUUGCCCAUGCUGUGUAACCACUCCCGGUCUACACCAGCCAUGCGCACCAUGCCUGCGCAACUGCGACACACGCGCCCGUGAAACCGCGAGAGUCGGCUCUGAUACCACUUUGUAACGUCCCGCCUUCCCCCAGGCCGGGCCCGCUUACAUCUGAUAGCUUUCAUAGGUCAUAGACUGCCCUCACAGACCAACACAUGUCUUUUCUGCACACUUUGUCCUCACUCGUGUGCAUCCGGGAAGAAUUUUUCGGUCGGUCACCCAUCCCAAAUUGCUCCAGGCCAAGCACGCUUAACCCUGGAGUUCUUU
rnacentral:lncRNA from 1 species